rnacentral:rRNA from 1 species
UACGAAGGGGGCUAGCGUUGCUCGGAAUCACUGGGCGUAAAGGGUGCGUAGGCGGGUUCUUAAGUCAGGGGGGAAAUCCUGGAGCUCAACUCCAGAACUGCCUUUGAUACUGAGAAGCUUGAGUCCGGGAGAGGUGAGUGGAACUGCGAGUGUAGAGGUGAAAUUCGUAGAUAUUCGCAAGAACACCAGUGGCGAAGGCGGCUCACUGGCCCGGUACUGACGCUGAGGUGCGAAAGCGUGGGGAGCAAACAGG